rnacentral:rRNA from 1 species
GAUGAACGCUAGCGGCAGGCUUAACACAUGCAAGUCGAGGGGUAACAUAGAAAAGCUUGCUUUUCUGAUGACGACCGGCGCACGGGUGCGUAGCGCGUAUACAACCUACCUUUUAGCGGGGAAUAGCCCAGGGAAACUUGGAUUAAUGCCCCAUAGUAUAUAGACUUCUCCUGAAGUUUAUAUUAAACAUUUAUGGCUAUUAGAUGGGUAUGCGUCCUAUUAGUUAGUUGGUAAGGUAACGGCUUACCAAGGCAGCGAUAGGUAGGGGUCCUGAGAGGGAGAUCCCCACACUGGUACUGAGACACGGACCAGACUCCUACGGGAGGCAGCAGUGAGGAAUAUUGGACAAUGGGCGAGAGCCUGAUCCAGCCAUGCCGCGUGCAGGAAGACUGCCCUAUGGGUUGUAAACUGCUUUUACAGAGGAAGAACCACCCCCACGUGUGGGGGUUUGACGGUACUCUGCGAAUAAGGAUCGGCUAACUCCGUG